UGCUAGACGAGUUUGAUCAUGGCUCAGAACGAACGCUGGCGGCAGGCCUAACACAUGCAAGUCGAGCGGGACCUUCGGGUCUAGCGGCGGACGGGUUAGUAACGCGUGGGAACGUGCCCAAAGGUACGGAAUAGCCUCGGGAAACUGAGAGUAAUACCGUAUGUGCCCCUCGGGGGAAAGAUUUAUCGCCUUUGGAUCGGCCCGCGUUGGAUUAGGUAGUUGGUGGGGUAAUGGCCUACCAAGCCGACGAUCCAUAGCUGGUUUGAGAGGAUGAUCAGCAACACUGGGACUGAGACACGGCCCAGACUCCUACGGGAGGCAGCAGUGGGGAAUCUUAGACAAUGGGGGAAACCCUGAUCUAGCCAUGCCGCGUGAGCGAUGAAGGCCUUAGGGUUGUAAAGCUCUUUCAGAUGGGAAGAUAAUGACGGUACCAUCAGAAGAAGCCCCGGCUAACUCCGUG
rnacentral:rRNA from 1 species